GGUGCUGUGGCGAAGUGGAAACGCGGUCGUCUGCAAAACGACCAUUGCAUGGGUUCGAUUCCCAUCGGCACCU
rfam:Candidatus Azambacteria bacterium RIFCSPLOWO2_02_FTLL_44_14 rifcsplowo2_02_scaffold_3833, whole genome shotgun sequence.